GUCCGCGGCUGAUCUUCCGGUGCCUCGAAGGCGUUGCCUUCGGGGUUAAACGGGAAGUCGGUGCGCGGCCCUCUCUGGUGCCGCAACGCCGACGCUGCCCCCGCAACGGUAGACGAGUCAAGACGCGGCAAGAUGCCACUGUGAGUCAUCACGGGAAGGCGCCGCGUCGGGGUCCAACCCCGCUCGUGAGCCCGGAGACCGGCCGGAUGAUCGGGGACCGU
rnacentral:ncRNA from 2 species